GUGUCAGCAGCCGCGGUAAUACGUAGGGGGCAAACGUUGUCCGGAUUUACUGGGUGUAAAGGGUGCUCAGGCGGUUUAGUAAGUUAGAAGUGAAAUCCUAGGGCUUAACUCUGGAACUGCUUUUAAUACUGCUAAGCUUGAAUGUGGAAGAGGAUGAUGGAAUUUCUGGUGUAGCAGUGAAAUGCGUAGAUAUCAGAAAGAACACCAGUGGCGAAGGCGGUCAUCUGGUCCACUAUUGACGCUAAAGCACGAAAGCGUGGGGAGCAAACAGGAUUAGAUACCCUCGUAGUCC
rnacentral:rRNA from 1 species